CAUGCAAGUCGAGCGAACAGACGAGGAGCUUGCUCCUCUGACGUUAGCGGCGGACGGGUGAGUAACACGUGGAUAACCUACCUAUAAGACUGGGAUAACUUCGGGAAACCGGAGCUAAUACCAGAUAACAUGUUGAACCGCAUGGUUCAACAGUGAAAGACGGUCUUGCUGUCACUUAUAGAUGGAUCCGCGCCGCAUUAGCUAGUUGGUAAGGUAACGGCUUACCAAGGCAACGAUGCGUAGCCGACCUGAGAGGGUGAUCGGCCACACUGGAACUGAGACACGGUCCAGACUCCUACGGGAGGCAGCAGUAGGGAAUCUUCCGCAAUGGGCGAAAGCCUGACGGAGCAACGCCGCGUGAGUGAUGAAGGUCUUCGGAUCGUAAAACUCUGUUAUUAGGGAAGAACAAAUGUGUAAGUAACUAUGCACGUCUUGACGGCACCUAAUCAGAAAGCCACGGCUAA
rnacentral:rRNA from 1 species